rnacentral:rRNA from 1 species
UUAAAUUGAAGAGUUUGAUCAUGGCUCAGAUUGAACGCUGGCGGCAGGCCUAACACAUGCAAGUCGAGCGGUAGCACAG